GCGUCCGUAGCUCAGUUGGUUAGAGCACCACCUUGACAUGGUGGGGGUCGGUGGUUCGACUUCACUCGGACGCACCA
rnacentral:tRNA from 1 species